GUUACCUAUUACCUUAUCUGUACGUUCCGCAUCUGACAGGCGCACCACCAAACGGUGUAUUCAGGAUUAAUAUGCUAUAUACACGGGUCAUAAUCACAGGGUUGACACUACUAAAUUGUCAAAUUGUUACCUAUUGUAGUAUUUUAAUCUGUAAGACUUUCUAAGACAACAAUACGAAUACUAAAAAUCUGGACUAAAAAUAAGCUUUAAUUUGUUAGCGGGC
rnacentral:lncRNA from 1 species